rnacentral:rRNA from 1 species
CCUACGGGUGGCAGCAGUGGGGAAUAUUGCGCAAUGGGCGAAAGCCUGACGCAGCGACGCCGCGUGAGGGAUGAAGGUCUUCGGAUCGUAAACCUCUGUCAGCAGGGAAGAACGGUCACUGUGCUAAUCAGCAGUGAAUUGACGGUACCUGCAAAGGAAGCACCGGCUAACUCCGUGCCAGCAGCCGCGGUAAUACGGAGGGUGCGAGCGUUAAUCGGAAUUAUGGGGCGUAAAGCGCUCGUAGGCGGUAUGUCAAGUCAAGGGUGAAAUCCCCGCGCUCAACGUGGGAACUGCCUUUGAAACUGGCAAACUGGAGUGUGUGAGAGGAUAGUGGAAUUCCAGGUGUAGGAGUGAAAUGCGUAGAUAUCUGGAGGAACAUCAGUGGCGAAGGCGACGAUCUGGCACAUAACUGACGCUGAGGAGCGAAAGCGUGGGUAGCAAACAGGAUUAGAUACCCUUGUAGUC